CACCACUCUCCCAUCUCUCUCUAUCUCUCUUUCCCUGUCUCUGUCUCUCUUUCUCUGUCUCAGUCCCCCUUGAAGACAGGCGAGACUCUUGGGAGAUAAAUAUAUAAGAGAAUCAGAGAAACUUUCUUGUCAAACCAACAAUUCAUGAGAAAAGUCUCGUUGAAGAUAGUUCUAAUUGGGAUGUUCCAAGGGAGCUGCUCUUUUGAGGGGAAUGUUGUCUGGCUCGAGGACAUUUCUUUUAGUCCAUUUUCUUGCAUUAGUUUGCUUCUAUGGGUCUGCUUAUUGUUGUAAUGGAUUGAAAUUAUGCCAGUGUCGUCGGACCAGGCUUCAUUCCCCCCAAUUAUUGCUCCCAUAUGGAACUGCGAAGCAAAGGCUAGAUUCUAGAUCAUGAACUGCAGCAUGUAAAGGCAGAUCUUUCCCAUGAUGGCUUCCUGUAUCUGAUCUGUCUGCUUCUGCUGUUUUCAGAUCUGGCUUUGAUCUUUGGUAAACAUUUAUCCCUACUUUUUAACUCUACCCCUUUCUUCCUUCUUUUUCCAUCUCUCUAGGGUUUCAGGGUGGAGAGCUUGGCUCUUCACCCAAAAUGAAUCCUUUUGAAUAAAGCUUGGCCUGAGUGACGAAACAAAGGUUUAAGGAGCUUUCUGCAGUAAAGCACAUGCUUUAAUUAACAAGUAACUAUCGUUUGAAGGGAGCUUUUCCCAAUGUUUGUGCUUCUUCAGUACAUUUUAGGGAAUUUGCGAUCAGAACGAGGCGUAAAAUUUUACUAUUGUUUUCAUUUCCCAUCAUACGUUUUCCAUAAUUUGCUCUUGCUUUACUCAUGGAUGGUGAGAACAGAACACAUGAAGAAACAGUUGAUUAGAAAGAUUGGCAGAGAAGAGUUUAUAUAGGCCUAUAGGCCUUAGGUAACACGUAUCCCACUAGAUUGUCACACCGGCAUUUAUCAUCUAAAAUCCUCCGCUCCCUUUGUCCUUCCCACAACCCCUACAUUGACCAACAAUCACCUUACUUUUUACAAGCUCAGCCGAAAGAUUAGCAAUGGAGUACUUCUAGUGCUUUGAGCGGUGAAAGUUUGUGUAUUAAAAUCCUGGUUAGGAAUCUAGGAAACAAAUGGCAGUUUUUUUUUUUUAAUACUUGUAUUACUUGUAUGUGCAUUUGUACGUUGAGACUAUCACAAACAUUAAUAUUCCUGAUUUCUAUAGUUUGAAUCACUGGAUUUGGAUAGUUAUCCUUUUCUUUUUCUCUCUUUUUUCUUAAUUAUUUUUUUAUUCAUUUUGUUGAAAAAGCACUCGUAUGAAAUGAUGUCCCCUAAAGAACUACCUUUUGGGGAAUUGGAUCUUUUUGACCUUUGCCAAACAAUAAAGUAAAACACUUUCUGCUUUGCUUUGAAUUCUUGUUUUCGAGGCUA